rnacentral:rRNA from 1 species
AACGAACGCUGGCGGCAUGCCUAACACAUGCAAGUCGAACGAAGCCUUCGGGCUUAGUGGCGCACGGGUGCGUAACGCGUGGGAAUCUGCCCUUAGGUACGGAAUAACUCAGGGAAACUUGAGCUAAUGCCGUAUGAUGUCUUCGGACCAAAGAUUUAUCGCCUGGGGAUGAGCCCGCGUCGGAUUAGCUAGUUGGUGGGGUAAAGGCCUACCAAGGCGACGAUCCGUAGCUGGUCUGAGAGGAUGAUCAGCCACACUGGGACUGAGACACGGCCCAGACUCCUACGGGAGGCAGCAGUGGGGAAUAUUGGACAAUGGGCGAAAGCCUGAUCCAGCAAUGCCGCGUGAGUGUAGAAGGCCUUCGGGUUGUAAAGUCCUGUCAGGAGGGACGAAGCGGUUCAUCCCGUGACGGUACCUCCAGAGGAAGCCCCGGCUAACUACGUGCCAGCCGCCGCGGUAAGAC